rnacentral:rRNA from 1 species
GGGGGGGGUUGUCCGGGAGUUACUGGGCGUAAGCGCACGCAGGCGGUCGUGUAAGUUUGGGGUUACAGCUCCCGGCUCAACUGGGAGAGCGCCUUGAAGACUGCAGGACUUGAGGGCCAGAGAGGGACACAGAAUUCCGGGUGUAGUGGUGAAAUGCGUAGAUAUCCGGAGGAAUACCAAAGGCGAAGGCAGUGUCCUGGCUGGUGACUGACGCUGAGGUGCGAAAGCUAGGGGAGCGAACGGGAUUAGAUACCCCGGUAGUCCUAGCCGUAAACGAUGACCACUAGGUGUGGGAGGUAUCGACCCCUUCCGUGCCGUAGCUAACGUGAUAAGUGGUCCGCCUGGGGAGUACGGUCGCAAGAUUAAAACUCAAAGGAAUUGACGGGGACCCGCACAAGCAGCGGAGCGUGUGGUUUAAUUCGACGCGACGCGAAGAACCUUACCAGGGCUUGAAAUGCUCGGGAAAGCCGGGGAAACUCGGCCCUCCUUCGGGACUCGAGUACAGGUGGUGCAUGGCUGUCGUCAGCUCGUGUCGUGAGAUGUUGGGUUAAGUCCCGCAACGAGCGCAACCCCUGUCCCAUGUUGCCAGCGAGUCAUGUCGGGGACUCAUGGGAGACUGCCGGUGACAAAUCGGAGGAAGGUGGGGAUGAUGUCAAGUCAUCAUGCCCCUUAUGUCCUGGGCUACAAACGUGCUACAUUGGCCGGCACAAAGGGCUGCAAACCCGCGAGGGUGAGCGAAUCCCAAAAAGCCGGUCCCGGUUCGGAUUGGAGGCUGAAACUCGCCUCCAUGAAGGCGGAGUUGCUAGUAAUCGCGGAUCAGCAACGCCGCGGUGAAUACGUUCCCGGGCCUUGUACACACCGCCCGUCACACCACGAAAGUCGGCAAUACCCGAAGCCGGUGGGCUAACCGCAAGGAGGCAGCCGUCGAAGGUAGGGUCGAUGAUUGGGGUGAAGUCGUAACAAGGUAAC